GGCGGCGUUUCGGCCCCGCUCGAUGUGAGGCGGAGCGCGGCCCAGGCAAGCGGCGUGCGAGGGGCGCGGGGCCUCCGCGCCGCGGGCGGGAGAGUUCACAAUGACGAAUGAAGAACCUCUCCCAAAGAAGGUUCGCCUUAGUGAAGCAGAUUUUAAGGUUUUACCUAGAGAUGAGCUUAUCCUAAGGUGGAAACAAUAUGAAGCAUACGUGCAAGCUCUGGAGGGCAAGUACACAGACCUUAAUUCUAAUGAUGUGACGGGGCUGAGAGAAUCUGAAGAGAAGUUGAAACAGCAACAGCAAGAGUCUGCCCGAAGAGAAAAUAUUCUGGUGAUGAGGCUGGCAACUAAGGAACAGGAGAUGCAAGAGUGUACUAAUCAGAUUCAGUACCUCAAGCAAGUCCAGCAGCCUAGUGUUGCCCAACUGCGAUCAACAAUGGUGGACCCAGCCAUCAACUUGUUUUUCCUAAAAAUGAAAGGUGAACUGGAACAGACUAAAGACAAACUGGAACAAGCCCAAAAUGAACUGAGUGCCUGGAAAUUUACGCCUGAUAGAGGCCUGACAGCGUCGGACUAUUCUGAAGAAAUGGCCAUCUUCGAAAAAAAUCUUUUCUAGAACAUGUAGACAUUUGCAAAAUUGUUCUAUUUGAAGAAAAUAGAGGGAGAAACAGAAGUCUUAAGUCUGUGGCACACUGUGUCUACAGACAGUUUGGAGGAGAGAGAACCUAGAGAUUAUAAAUCAUGAAUUGAACAUGUAAAAUUCCCGUAAAAUGUAGAAGUGGAAUAUGCUUCGCUCUUAACCUUGAGCCUAGUGACUUAGAGACACUGUAAGUCAGUUUUGCCAAUAAGACUGUGGACUUCCUGCUUGUUCACUGAACUGCUGGGUCAAAACUCAAUGAGGUGAAUUUUGCAUUAAAGAGUUUACUUGCUAACCAGUUUUGAAUAGCCACAAGAGUGCUAUUUGAUAUCACAACAGUGGUAGUGUACACAUUUGACUGUUUAGCCUUUGGGCUCUAGCACUUGAUGCAGCCUUAAGUCACUGUUGCUAAAUAAUGAACUGUUUUCUGGAUGGUUGGUAAUAUUGUGGAUGCCUCAAAAUUAGAACUGUACAAAAAUGUACGUUCCAUCUAAAUGCAGGUUUAAAAUUGUCUGAAGCAACAUAUAUUUGAUCACAACUAGCAUGUAUAAGAAAAACUGGUUGUGAUAAGAAUUUCACUGCAUGUUUUCAUGCAGAAAUGAGAAUUUUUCGAUCUUCAUACUAAGAACUGAUCUCAAAUGCUUAAUACAGAAGGCACAAGAUGGCAACUGUCUUCAGUGUUGGUGGGGUGUUUUUAUUCCGUUGUACACCUGGGUUUUUUUGUAUUGUGCUUCUCUAUAAAAUGUGCCUUGAAAUAGUUGUAAUACGUAGUUCAAGGAACACUUCUGGAUAUACUGUUGUAUCGUGAAACUCCUGGGAUGAACGAGAAUUGAACAGGUUGUUAUUUCUGCAUUGUCUCGUUCGCUGCAAACGAAGUCAGUAUUUUAACAAACCAAAAAAACCUUAAAUGCAUGCAUUUUUGUUGGUGGAUUCAGUGAAGGAGUUUUUGCUGCUCUAUUGAUGCCUCUGUUCUGUUGUCCCAAGUUACUUGUAAGAGUAGCAAUCUGGGACAGUUGGGAGUGCACCUCUGAGGUCUGUAAAGCAAAAUGUAGAUUUGGUGUAGCAUUUGUGUGUUUGUUUUCUCCCGUAGCAAAUAGAGGUCUAUUUAGUAAUCUGAGGUUUUAUUUUUUCAAAACAGUUGGGCAACGUUUUAUGACUCAGUUUAAAAAAAUUAAUUUUUAAAUUGAAAAGACAUUCAGCUGUCACAGAAGGUGAUGUAUUCUAACUGUUUUGGUGACUUUUAUUAAGAUGCCGUAACAUAAUUUUGAUUUGGAAGUAUCUUUAACUGUUUGUGCUUCAGGUGAUUAAUACGGGAUCAAAGAGUAGUAUACUUAUGCAGGUUUAUUUUCUUUUGCAUGAGUAAUGACUUAACAGCAAAAAGAAAAAUCCACAGAAAAAUUUUACCUUUUUAAAAGUGAUACAUCCGGAAUGAUUUUGCUAUAGCAGUAUCUAAGAUUUUAUUGAUCUAGCAUCAAAACAGAGGUAAGACUUAUAUUAAUAAAUCGUUAAUGUGUUACCAAGGCAUUUGUAAAGCUUGCUAUAAUGUGUUGAAAGAGGCAUGCCAUGCAGAUUGCUUAUUUCUAACUUGGAGUUCAGAAAAUGAUUUAAUACAUUUAGAUACAGGUUGAUGGUUUUCUAAAGUCCUCAGGCUCUGAAUGUGUGAGUACAGCUGAGGAGAGAUGAGUAACUUGCUACUUCCUUUCAAACUCAAGUGUCAAAAGAAAAUGUUAUUUCUGUAGCUGCAACAUACCCUAAUUUACAUUAUACAAUUUUAAGUCAGUGGUGUGAAUGUGCAUAAUUCAUACAUGCAGUGGCUGAAAUAUAGAAAGUUAUAGUUAUUUCCUGGUAAACUAUUGAGGCUUUGUUAAAUGGGUUAAGAUUUUACUGCUUUUCAUUUCUUGAAAGGUAAAGUAAUAGGCUCAUGUAAAAUAUUAGUAGGGUUUUUUUAUUCUCUUUGCAUCUUGCCCCUCUCCCCCUUAAUUGCUUUAAUUGUCCAUCCUUGUACGCAGCUAUUAAUUUCAUGGCAUCUGGCCUAGUUUUUGGGAGAGGCAAUGGCCCUAUUCAGAUCCUAAACUGAUGUCCUUGGGGUGGAUAACAUGUUAACUGCAGCCCUAAGCAGAGUUAGUUCCGGACCUUAGUUGUAGAUAAGGCUGUGCAGCAUAAACGUUGCUGAUGUCUGAAGGGGGAAAUGAAAGGGCAUGUAAUCAAAGGAAUGGUUAUGCUAAGCCAUUUUAACCACCAUUAAGCAGAGUAUAGAUAUGGAAAAAAAUUAGUUGAAAUGUCAUUUUGCAGUAAGCCUAGGUACAACAAACUUUAGUCUUCUGAAAUUUAACCACUUAUAUUCUUACAGGUUUUGUUGCAUGUAUAUUCAAGAGGAUUUGUGAAAACAAUGCUGAACUUAGUUUUACAGUUCAUAGGAAUUAUUUUAAUAGUUAAUGGAUUUAAUGUUCUUGAAUAUAUUGUCCUUUUUGUAAAUUGCAAGGGUUAUUCUCUGCUAGUUCAGAACAUCUGGAAAAAUUCUGAUGGGAAGAAAUAGCAUUAUAGGUAACUAUGCAAAUUUCUAUACAGGUAAUAAAUAUUUUACAUUUUGGCAGGAGUUAACCUGAAGAUAUUAAUGGGAUUCUAAAUUUGUCCCAAUUCCAAGGUAACUGGUACUUCCUGAUUCUGCAGUUGAUGUUGGUUUGUGAAGAGAAAAACAUUAAAUGACUUAAGCAUUGUAAACUUUUUCUACUUGCAGUAAUGAUGAAUACAGUAACAGGAAUUUGCCAAUGGCUAAAAAUCAUGUCUGCCUAAUAACUUUUGGGAUCUGUCACAUUGGUUAUCUCCAAAGUGGUCCUGCUUUGCACAGAAUGAACAUCUCUAAGGAAACUUGCAUCUUAAAUGUGCGACUUGGACUGUAUUAGGUCGGCACAAUUUAAACUUCAAGGACCUGGCAUUGGACAUCACAUCAAGAAAGAAAACAGGCUGCUGCCUUUAGCAGAUUUUCAGGCCUCCAGGACUUUACACAGCCAGAUUCCUUCUGGAGCAGCCCAUCUGAAAGAUUUGGGAAAGUCAGUUGAAAAAUGUUAAAUGGGGCAGAGUUGGCAGAGAACUUAAAAGUUGUUCUAAGACUUGAGUGCUCAGAAGGUAGUUGAUAAGGAAAUUGCUGUUUUAAAUUCUUCUGGUUGGGUAUUUUGGUUGCAGGAGAGAACUGUGGCUGUGAUUGUAGCAGAAAUUUCCUGUUCUAUUUUUUUAAUCCUCAAUUUCUUUUCAGUAUUUGUCACUUGUUUAAAAGCAUAUAAAAAAUUAAAUGACCUUCUUGGUCUUGAAAAGUAACGCAAGUCUUGCUAUUGAAUUCACAAUAAAACUGUUUAAGUUUGGGGGUUUUGGCAGAGCUUAUACUUCUAUAGAAAAGAAGACAGCUUUAUUAUGGUGCUGAGCCUAUUAAAAGAACUGUUUGGGGAUGCUAUCCUGACCUGGCAGACUAAGAGUCCUAAAGGACUUUAAUUUUUCUUUCAUGGAGUCAGCUGUAUUGCCUAUAUAUUAAUUUGCAUACUACUUCCUAUAAUGCUUUACAAUGAGAUUUUUAUGAUGAAGAUUAAAGAUGUGUAAUGUUACCAAUUUAGUAAAGAAAAUCUUGUCAGUUCCUACCUGUUUCACAUUUCUUUUAGAAAUUGAAUGUCCUGAUGAUCAUUAUUUACAAUCUGAAAUCUGUCAUUUUAAAGGAAGUAAAUAAUAUACCUCUUCCUUGAUGUCCUUCCAGUGUUCAGCUACACUUGCAUUCCUCUUCAUACAAGAUGUACUUAAGAGAUGCUGACCAUAGAAAUCAUGAAGCAGACUCUGCAUGUGACUGUCAAACAUACAAGUAGCAUUGAAAAAUAGACGCCUCAUUUUUUAAACAAGAGUACCUGUACAGCAUUCAAAAGAAAGGUUAAACCUUUUAAGGAAAAAUGGUUGUCAAUAUGAAAAAUGAACAUGAGAUUUAUUAUUUCCCCCAAGCAACUUCCUUCACCCAAAUUCAGCUAUUGCAUUUCAUUAGUGCAACAGAUGGGGAAUGAUUGUGCUUAUAAUUUGCUCAUGUAGUUUCUGUGUAGUCCUUGAUCUUUUGAAUUGCAAAACACAUCUUUAAUCAAAUAUUUAACUCCGUUAAGAAUUGGCACAUGCAAGAUUGUGCAUACUGAUAAUCCAGAUGUUGGUAUCAAAAAAGUACAAUAUGCUUAUUCAUAUUUUCAGUAAUAAAACUUGCCUUCCACUUUGUGGGACAGCGACUGAAGAUCAACUGGCGUUGGAACAGCAUGUGCCAAACAGGGAAAAAGUUAAUGGCGAAGUGUCGAAUGCUUAUCCAGGAGAAUCAAGAGCUUGGAAGGCAGCUGUCCCAAGGCCGUAUUGCACAGCUUGAGGCAGAAUUGGCUUUACAGAAGAAAUAUAGUGAGGAACUUAAAAGCAGUCAGGAUGAAUUGAAUGACUUCAUCAUCCAGCUUGAUGAGGAGGUAGAGGGUAUGCAGAGUACCAUUCUAGUUCUUCAGCAGCAGUUGAAGGAGACUCGCCAGCAGUUGGCACAGUACCAGCAGCAGCAGUCCCAGGCAUCCAACCCAGGUACCAGCAGGACUCCAUCCUCUGAGCCCACGGAGCAGGGAGAGGCCGUGGGCAAAGACUGCAGCCGCCUGGCAAACGGACCAAGCAAUGGCAGCUCCUCCCAUCAGCGGACGUCUGGGCCUGGAUUUUAUAGGGAGGGUAGCGGCACAGAGGAUGACUUCCCAGCUUCUCCAGGGAAUGGUAAUAAGCUGUCCAACCACUCUGAAGAUAGAACUGGUAGAGGAAGUGGUAGCUACAUAAACCAGCUCAGUACUGGGUAUGAAAGUGUAGACUCUCCCACUGGCAGUGAAAACUCUCUCACUCACCACUCAAAUGACACAGACUCCAAUCAUGAUCCUCAAGAGGAGAAAACAGUGAGCAUGAAAGG